UACAGCAAUAAUAGUCCCUUAACUAAAUAUACCAAUUCCUAGUUCACCAAACCGUCUGUGGUCUCACUGGAGUCGAAGAAAGGAGAUGGUUACCGUGACAUCAUUGCUAUUAUUUAAAUUAAACUGCUUUGGGAGAACAUAAUUGUUAAUAAAAGCCUUCUUUUCCACGCCCCUCAAGGUUCCCUUCCCCCUUUGGCAUUUUUGACGUGCCAUUCUGGAUGAAUGUAAGCAGAAUUAUGUGGAGUCUAGUAGCCUACUAUAUAACUACCAUGUUGCACCUGCAGGCUAGCAAGGAAAAGCAGAGGAAAUUUGCUAUAUUUAGGGAUAGUUGUUUGAGAAAUAUAUACUCUUAGAUACUGAUGUUCAAAGUUUUUCUCUUCCUAAAUGUGUGUGUGUGUACGCAGAGAGUUUUAUAUGGGUUAUAUGAACCCUCUGUAGUGUCCGUGUUUGUACAUUAAAGACUGCCAUGUAAUCAUUCCAGGGGGCUGGUUUAAUGCAUUUAACAGAGAACUAAUGGGUCUUCUACGUCGAAAAGCAUGCUCCUAUUUUUAAUCCCGUCACGUAUUGAAGCGGUUUUGUGUGAGUCUGAGGCGUCCACCUUCAUUCAUAGUAGAUGCUCUUGUUCAAGAAAUCAUUCCAACCACUUUGGGUUCCCUAUCAUUGCUAAAAUGCCCCCCUUACUUCUCUGCUACUAUUUUUUCUUUAUUAUUUAGCCUAUUUCCGUCAUACUUAACAAAAAUAAAUAAUCCUUGCUGCCCAGAAAUUCAGUUGAAAUGAUCCGGUGAGCUCUCGCCUUGGUCCUUACUUCGAAAUGUAAUUUCAAAUACUGGAUAUGAUAGGACUUGGUCGUUGAUCAAGCUGCAGGAGACCGAAGCUACUUUUUCGUGCCGGAUUUUACCUUCUUUCUUGCCUGGAGCGUGCGCUCUGCACACGCGCGCACACACACACACAAACACACACACACAGAGAAUUCCAUAAAAAGAAGCUGGGUGAGGGUGUCCCAAUGUGAACUGAGACGCUGGGCUCUGGCUGAACCUGGGCAGUAGGGAAGCCGCUGGUGAGCGGCGCCAGCACCAGGGGCUAAGGCUGAGGGUGGCCUGCGGCCAGGGUGAGGACGCGCAGAAGCUGUGCGGGCCUCCCGCGCUUGUCUGAUGCUGGAGAGGAUGGCCAGGCUCCCGGGAAUGAAAUCAAAGUUCCGUAGAGCUCAGAACCCCUAGACAGCAACCUUGUUGGGCGAAGUGCCCUGUUCGGUUUGAGCUCGCGCGUGGAGCGGGCUCCAGCACUGGGUCUGCCGGGGAAGAAGCCCACGAAAGGGGUCCCGCAGCGUUAGCUUUUGUACCGCCCCGCCUUGGCCAGCCGCGAGCUGACGCACGGGCUCCCCCGGGACGCAGGGGGCGUCGCACUGCAGCUGGGUGGGGAGCAAUUUAUUCCUCGCGGUCACAUCCCAGCAGAUCUACGGUUACUCCACCCUACCCCUCCCAUCCCUCCUCCUCCUCUCUACCGACGCCCGCACAACCUUCAGAUUCUCCACCUCCCCUUCAUCCUCCAUCCCCCUUCUCUCUCACACUCUUCUCUCUCCCCUUUCUCUCCUCCCAUCCCUCUCUUUCUCUCCUCCCUCUCCUCUCUGAAUGAGCAAGCUUUUGCUUCUAAAAGUCACAAGUAAGAGAGAGAGAGAGAGAGAGAGAGAGAGAGAGAGAGAGAGAGAGACGCCGAGAGGAGCGGAAAGCAGGAGGGAAAUCUGGCAGUACGUCUGAGAGAAGAAACUUGAUGCUUCUGGGCCACCAUUUGCCAGGGCCUCGCUGGAGACGCCGAAAGGAGCCUAUUGGUGUGCUGCGGCCGCGCUGUGACUGGAUCUUGUCUUCUGUCUGGCGCUUCGAUUUCUGUCCGGCUGGAUUUGAGGGUCAACACUGCCUGGAGCAGGGAGAUCAAAUGAGACUGCAAAGAAGCAUAAAAUGAAUAGACUAUCUAACCAACCAAAGACCGGGGGCAGCAGCACACCAGCAAGACGGCAUCUUCUCCUCCCCAGCCUAGAAGCCCUGUGAAAUCGAGGAUCUUCCCCCUAAAACACUAACAUACAAGAUAUGUGCAAUCAAGCUGCCACCGCUUGGUAAAAACUCACGAUGCCUAACCCAAAAGGAUCGGGAGCAGAUCCUUGAAUCAGCUGUCACUUCUAUAGAAUGGGAUUUUUUUUCCUUCCUCCUUAACCUGCGCUGGAAAUUGCCGUUGGCUUUAUACAUCUCUAUAGAGGAAGGCCAAAGAGUCUUGCGUGAGAAUGAAGCGAUUUACAAUGCAAAUAGAGGCCUGUGAAGGGAUGGAUGCCGCUGCUCACUCCCAACAGCUUGCUGCGCCUUAAUAGCUGGUUUUAUUUUCUGUUAUUAAUUGAUGAAUUGUUUGCUGACGCUGCCGGAGAUUACUUGCUGGAAGGGGAAAAAAGUUCGGAAUAAACUCUGAAGGCAACAGAUCUUAUUUGGAUGUUUUAGCCGCACAUACACAAACUGAAACCAGGUCAUAUUUACAUCAAAGGAGGAAUCUUGGGCACGGCAAGUAUCCUGGACGACUACCCUUCAGUACUGCCGGAGAGAACCGGGAUCUGGAGUCUGGCGAGAGGAAGACAGAGGCAUGUGAGGGAAGCGAGUUGUUAUCUUUGGUUAUCUAGCUGUAUGAGUGUAUUGGUCUUCAUAAAGCUAGAUAACCGAAAGUAAAAACUCCUUCAAGAUCGCCGGGGAGCGUGUGAGAUGAAAGACUACAACCAAGAGACAGUAAAAACCAGAAAGGUCAGGAAUACUUAUUGAAUCUAACUUUGUUUUUGUUUUUGUUUUUCCUUAUCAUGAAAGGUGGGAUGAGAGGAAAUUGACACAUAUAUGCUGAGAUACUAACGUGUCAGGUUUUGAAAGGGGUUGUUACAGCUGCAAAGGAGAAUUGUAUAGUACUAAUGAGUAAAGAUGCGUGUACACUUUGUUCUAUUUAAGGCGAAAGUUUAUAUAAGAGGAACUUUUUUCUUAGAAAGAGAUCGUAGAGAUGUCUGAGACCUAGUUUAAAAAUGAUUCCAUAAUUAUGUAGACUUGGGCAGUUCCCUUCUGAGGCUCCUCCCCCCAAAAUUUGAAGAUUGUGCUUGGAAACUACUUUAAAUGUAUUUGGGCUGUAUGUCAAAUUCUAUAAAAUUAGACUUUAAGACAAGUUUAUACUGAGAGGUUAAUAAUUUAUAUCUAUUGAAGACUUAGAACUAGCCGGGAAAAAUGAAGAAAAACAAAAACAAAGGCUGAUUUUUAUUCUUCUAUUCAAAAUACAAGGACAGAUGCUUCUCUGUUCCAAGAGGGUUUCCUUGAGGAAGCUACUGAAGCAGAAAGACAUGAUGGAGACGAGAUCGCCUCCCCUCUUGUCAAAGUGUUAAAAAAAUAUUCUGUCUUACUCUGAGCCUAGCAUUGGAAAUGAAAGUGACAUUUACGCCACAACCCACGUGUGCGCCUCCUCUCUUUUUGUUUAAGGAUGAUCAGGUCUAUCCAGGAAACAGCUCUGGCAUCCCAAACUGAAAUAAUUAGGACGUAUAUAGACCUGACAAAAAUGGAAAGGGGGUGGGGAAUCUGAGGGUCUGUCCUGCCUAAUUGAUUCCGCUAAACGGAAUGCAGGAGAUGUGAACGGCAGGACGCUCCGAUUCCCACGCUCGGGGGCAAGUGGUAAAGCGGGCCGGCAGCCUAUGACAGACAGCCCUGUUGGGGGGUAGGGGUAUGAAAAAAACAUCAAGUGCACACACCAUACUCAUCUCCAUCGCUUAAGAAAGUAAAGGCAUUUCCCACCCACAGCCAUCUGCAGCCUCCCAAAUGGCAACGCCAACUGGUCUGUAGCUGCUGCAUACUGUCUGUUUCUGUUAAUUUUUAACCGCUGUUUAAUUUGGCCCUGAUCAAGUUUGGCUUUCUUUUUUGGUUGAGAUUUUCAGUAUUUAAGGAAAGCUAGUGGAAAGUGAUUUCAAGAAAGUCUCAUUACUGCCUGUCCCUCCUGUGAAAUCCUCAGUCUCUACUUACGGCCUUGUGACCACCUUUUGGCUUUUGUUUUGGCUGGGUUGUAUUUUUUUUUUUUUUUUUACUAUAUGUCUCUACGUAACAGUCAUUAUUAUGGCUUCACCAGGUUGUUUACCUCUUAAGAUGACACACCUAGGAAUUUGGCCUGAUUGUGCUAAUUAAAUACACAUUGAAAGUCAAACCAAGAAGUCAUCAGCCUAUAGAAAAGUUGAUUACAAUAACAAUGUGAUAAAAGGUUGUUUUGGAAUAAUCCCAGGUAGAUGCAUUCUAACCAGGCAUUUUAAAUCUUAAUUUAAAAAUAACUAUUCUUAGCUUUAUAAACUUUGUGGAUUUUAAAAGUCCUCAUUGUGGUCUUUUCAUUAAAUUUCUUACAUUUUGCCACAUGUCACCAAGCGAACAUUUGUGUAGGCAUUUACACAUAAACACAACCAUUACAAUAAGAUGCCCAAAAUAGCCUGUUAUCUUCCACGUGACCUAGAUUACUGACACUUUUAAAUAUAUAAUUUUUCUUCAAAGGCAGUACAUUUUCCUUUGUAGCUUCAAUUCCAUGUAGGACUUCAUACUGUAAAACCACUGUUAGUUUCCUUUAGAAACUCUGAGAGACUUUAAUAACAUAAAUUCUCAAUUUGGCUGCUGAACACGUGCCAGAGUUUUACUACCAUAGUGACCGUUGAGAAGACCCUUGUUUAUUUACAUCUGAAGCACUGUUUGUGCAAACAACCUUUCAUUGUUAAGUGCCUGUAUUCCUUUCAUUUACUUCAUGUCCAGGGGUGCUAUUUACCUAGAACCAUUGUCUACUACAAUUAACAUUUACAUUACAAAGUGUGUGGUUUUCUUUCUCAAGGAGGUUCAAUUAAGGCAAUAAGAUGUUUGCGGGGAAACCUAUUGUUUACUGAAAGCACUCAAUGGAGUCAAAUUACUGACGCUUUUGCCUACAUCUUGGUCUUUUAUGUAAAUAUGUUAAAUAUAACAUCUAAGGAAAAUAAACAAUAUUAUAAUUAUGUGUUUGCCAUUGUCAUAUCAAACUUGCUUUGUAUCAUACUAAUGUUACAUAACUUAUCGAUCAAUAAAAAUACAUUUCAAUGUUAUUUUCAUUUUAUUUUUUGCUGUUCCACUGCUCUUGCUGCAACAUGUCCCAAUUUUUCUUUUUUCUAUUACACAUCAAACUUCUGACAUUUUGUUUUAUUUGUGUGUGUUGAAGAGAGGUACUGUAUCUGAGCAUGGGUCUGAAGGAUGUCUGAGAUAAUCUCUACAAUGACCUUAUAAUAAGGUGAUAUUUCUUUGAAAUCUGAAAUAUUCCAAAGGCAUGUACAUUUAAGUCAAAAGAAGUGUAAAUAUCAGUUAAGUAGUUCUUUGAAAGCUAGUUUUAACAUUGGCAGAAACCGGAUCAAGUUUAUUUAGCAUACCACUGCAUUGUAAAACAGUUGGAGUGAAGUUGCAGGUUGCGUGAGUAUGCAUGUUAACUAGUGGGAACCAAGCAUAGUCUUUGUGAAAGGGGAGCAGCAGAUUGCUGUGCAAGGCCAAUGUUAAAAAGGCAGCUGAAUUUAACACCAUCUGGAAGAAAAGAUCCCUUCACGACUUUCUCACACCGUCAGACAAAACUAGUGUCUCUUGUUCCGAGCCCUUGUCUAUGCAACCAUACAAUACUGAGUCAUUAUACUUUUGCUGAGAGAAAAUUUGAGAACACAAUAUGGGUAACCAGUGAAUGACCAAGUUUCAUUGUGCCCGCUUAAGUCGAUUGAAAUCUACGUCUAGAGCUAUGAAUGGUAGUAUUGUUUUCCUCACCAGGGCUGUACUAAAUGUCAGCACAGUGUAAAGAAAAACUUGAAGUCUGCAAAUAACUUACCAGAUCUCAAUUAUAAUAUUUUCCCACACUAGAACUAAUAUCAUUGCGAGGGGCUACAUUGCAGAAAAUACCAAAAGAAAGGAAAAGAAAUAAGAGAGUUCAUUAAGAAGUUAUUUUAUCUAGACAAACAUUUUAAUUUUCUGAUGGGACCUUCAAUUCAGGCUGCAGGCUGAGUUGAAGAGUGGAAUUCAUUACUUGGAAGUUCAGGUUACAAAAAUGCUAAACAAAUAUCUAUUUCUACCUUUAAACAUUCUUAUUAGAUAUCAACAGACCCCACUUGGGUUUUACUGCUAGUUCUGUUUAGAAUUGUUAGUGUAAAUCUAGCUUUAAUUUUGCUUUAAAUUUUGGCACACUGCUCUUUCAAAGUUUGCCACUGUGAUUGACAUUGUAAAGGAACACCAUAGACAUACAUUUCCAAAAAUUUACAAGAUGGUUCUGGCACCUCCCAAGGUAGAUUCUAGUGCCCUUAGAAAUAUGCUUCCCCUUUAUGUUAAACCCCUCCCUCCAUCUUGUGUGUAUGUGCGUGUGUGUGUGUGUGUGUGUGUGUGUAAAUCAGUUAUCCUUAGGGUUAAUGUUCACACAAUCUAUUUGACUGUAAACAGUCAGAAAAAGGAAACAAAGCAGUUCAGAAAGAGUAAAAGGAGUUGAUUGUGUAUGUUUUAUUAGGAUGUCUAUUUUAAAUAUAAUUGACUUUGCAAUUUUGUUAUUGUGUCACUAAGUGUCGCAUAGUUCUUAACAUGUAAGUGCAAAACAAUGAGUAAUUGCUGUUUUGCUGAAUAAUACAUCUAAGUUGCCAACGUCAAAGGUAUUAUUUUGUGUAUUUCUAAACAAGAACUUUAACUGCAGGUUUUGACAUCUAGAAUCUUUUCAUGAGAUUCUUAGAAAUAGGCUGAUAAAAUGAUGCCUUUAAAACUAAAUAUAAAGAUAUAACCAACUUAUUUUUCUUGUCCUACUAGAAAAUUAACAAUGAAAAGUCACUCAACACUUGAAUUGGAAAUAACAUAAACACAGUCAUACAAAAAAUUCAAAAGAACAACAAAUGGAAAUUGGAUAGAGAUUUUAAAAAAAGAAAUAGGAAAACUUCUGUAAUAUCUUUGCAAAAUGUGAAUGGCUAUCUUAACCAAUACCUCUCCCCUACUGAAGUUUCCAUUAUUAUGCACAGUAAUGAGAGAAAUGUAUUUUUUACAUUCAAAAUGAACUAUUUCCCCAAAGUUGCUUUUCUUUAUUCUUAAGCACUAAAUUU